UACGGAGGGUGCGAGCGUUGUCCGGAUUUAUUGGGUUUAAAGGGUGCGUAGGCGGCUCUAGUUAAGUCCGGGGUGAAAGCCCGUUGCUCAACAACGGAACGGCCCUGGAUACUGGCGAGCUGGAGUUUAGUGGAGGCUGGCGGAAUGGACGGAGUAGCGGUGAAAUGCAUAGAUACCGUCCAGAACCCCGAUUGCGCAGGCAGCUGGCCACGCUACAACUGACGCUGAGGCACGACAGCGUGGGGAGCGAACAGG
rnacentral:rRNA from 1 species